CUUUCCUACAGAAUUUUUUUUUUUUUUUAUUGUUAAAUUUCCAAGUAAUGUUUAGGUGAAGUGCUUAAAAACAAACAUAGGAAAUGUACCAUAUGAAAAUAGACAGCUUUUUAUGUGAUUGAAGAUCUAUUUGGUCAACGCUUGCAAGUAGUGACUUUUUCUUUCGAUUCUGAUUUCAUUUUGAUUUCUUUAUAAAUUCACAGCUUGUUUCCUUCACUGUGUAUGUGAUGCACAGAUAGAAAAAAAGUGUUCUAUUUUAUACAGGUGACGUUUCAUUCAUUUUCAUCAAGGGCUACGAAAAACACGCCACAUGAAAACCAGAAAUGAUUGGUCACAGUUCAAAGUGCGAUUCAGUACUUGCAGAAACCAAUCACCAAACACUCAUGCAUUAUUCAUCAUUUUAUCACUUUUGCUGCCAUGCAUCUGAGUUAAUCACAUGCCACGGUCAUCAGACGCUCUACUAGAAAAACAAACUCCCAAACGUUUUCUUGAUAGAUAUAAAACCUGACGUGUUAUUUGUAAACUGAACCCGUGUAAUUCAGUGUUUAAGUGGGGUUUGGAAAUGUCACACCAUUUUGUAAAUCCUGCAGUGUUUUCUUCGCUCUUCGUAGUGAGUUAGAUUUGAAGAAACUGAUGAAACGAAGCAAACUGAAAUACCAUUAUUUGGAUGUACGUCCUAUUCUAAAGUGUUCAAAUGGAUCUUAGUUUACUGCGACUUUCGAGUUGAGGUCUGCUCACUAUGAGAACAGUUUUCUUAUCAAGAAAAAACAAAGGGGGCGUUAUUCGGCACAGCUUGAUUGUUCUUAAUGCACUUUUUGGUUUUUCCAUGCAAACGCUUCGAGCUGCAGGCCGACCAUUCCAGCUACACAUAUCUAUAAAUGUGCCAGUCCCAGAUAUCUCGUAUUCGACGUUCCCUCAAAAACCUCUACCUCUGUGAGCCGUGAGAUGUUUUCAGGCAUUUUAGGAUCGGUAGUCACGUGACAAGCACACUUUUUAGUCCGUAGGGCACAGUCAGUGAGGUUUGGAGGCCAAACUUUGUCCAUUUAUUAGAUCUUGCCAAUAACCCGCAUGUAAACACGGCAAAAACAACACCUUUCUCAGGCCAAAACAAUCUUCCUAACAGGUCCCGGGUUCCAAGUGGUACGUGGAAAGUGUCUGUCCCACUGCUUUUGUUUGAGUUCUGUAGCGGACAAGUGAAUAGACAUAUCAGUUAUGAAGGCUUUGGCUGUUCUGGGUAACAGUUUAGAUAUAAUUUAGGCUAGAAAAUACCAUAUACAAAUGCAUAAAUGCUUGAGCAAAGCAUUGGAAACCUGUCUUGUUGAUAAUCCUCAGUACUCAAGAGGGCGCUAGAGUUCCCUUCAAGUGUCUGUGCCAUUAUACCGAAAGUUAUUACUCCUGAAUUAAGGAAGAUUGGCUGUGGAUGUUGCUUUUGUGGCAGCCAAUUGCACUGUAUUCACUUUUGACUUAUCUGGCUUGAAAAAAAAAAUUGUACACAUUCCUAUCUUUCUCUAGUGUGCAUAACAUAAGGUCGCUUGCCUCUUGAGUUCUGUGUCUGAGUUCUCAUGAUGGUUGUGAUUCAGUUCAAUGACUCUUUGCAUUUGAGCACUUGUAAAACUCUCUUAGUGAGAUGCAGUGAACACAUAAGCUUAUUGACAUGUAGUCAGAUUUGCUGGCCCGUUGCAGACAACAGAGCAAGAUGAUUGUUAUUUCCAUGAAAGCAUGUUUACUGGUACGGUUAGGUGCAUCUGUGUGGUGGACGGCCGAAUGGUUGACGUCCAGACCCAAUGAAAGAGUCACUAAAAUCUGAUUUCUGCUUUUCAUCCCGUUCUUUCAUUGUAAUGCAUUGCCUGAAAGCUGUUAUUUCCAGGACCACUUGAUCAUGUACAUUUUAUUUGGGUUUUCUCACUCAUUAUUUUUCUGCUUCUUUGUACCCUUUUAUUUUGUAAUUAUACCAAAUGUAAAUGUUGUAUAAUAUUGUGCGUGCCAAUCCCCUUCUCUGAGACCGACUCGUAACAAGUGCCAAUUGUUGUCCGAAUCACAUGCGGACUGUGAAAUUAGACAUGGUCCACUUUUAAAAAUGAGUAAAACACUAAAGAAGAGAGUAAAUGGAUUUACUUUGUAUUUAAGUUAGAAGAUAAACUGCUGUUUUUCUCUUUUCUUUUCUUUUUUUUUAAGGAAUUGUAAUUAUUAAAGCAUGUGCUCUUUGUCCAGGUGGGAGUUGUGGGCUCAGACAAACAUCGAAAUCAUCAAGACGAGAAAACAUAGUGGAAAUUAAUUUUACAACAUUCUCGCCAUAUUUUAUUGUUGUUUUUAUUUGUAUUUGUUUCAUUUCAACCACUGUUGCCUGAACCUCAUUCAAACAUGGAAAUGAUUUUCAUAACCGCCUUCUAAAAAAAAAAAAAAAUUAUAAAGUAUCUGUUUUAAAUUUAAAUAAAUUUGUUCCUAUACUUGCU
ensembl:lncRNA